UCAUAACGAUUAGGUGAAACUCCCUUAUAUUCUAGCAUCAAAUUCAUGCAUGAAAAAUUAAACGUGCACUCUUAAUCGACAUACACAAAUUAGUUAUCAAUCAAGCAGUUAAGCAAAUUAAAUCACAACUCAGAAAUCACAACUGAAGGUAAUCAAUUCAUAUUACAAAUAUAUUCAUGGCUUUGAAUUAACCUCUAGCCAAAAUAAAUUUAGUUACACAUUAUUAACAAAUUAAACCAAAAGUAAAACAUGGGUUUGAGAAGAUAAAACCAAGAAAAAUGGAGUGAAACUUUGCUCUCUGUGUUGCUCCCGUCAGUUUCUCCUUGCCUUUGCCUUCUCUCCCUUCUGUCCUGCCUCUGCGCCUCACUCUCCUUCAAUGGUGGCGGCACAAGGUGGUUAUGGUGGUUGAAUGGUUGGUUAUAUGGAGGAAUGGAUGGGGAAGGUUUAGAUAUGUAAGGAGAGGCAAG
rnacentral:lncRNA from 1 species